AGACAGACAGAGACGUCAAAGAGAAGCCAUGUAGAGACCAGGAAGAUAGGACGCACCAGGUAUUGUCUGGUAAGACGAGGUCAUGUAGAGAUAAAUAGAUUAGUAGCUAUGGGUUAAUCAUUAAGAGAGAGCUAGCCAGUAAGAAGCCCUAGCCGUCGGCCAACAGUUUUAUAAUUAAUAUAACAUCUGUGCGUCUGUUUAGGGCAAAGCGGCUGUGGGAGCAUGCGGGACAGAAAUCCCCGUCUUCAACCACCUGUAUUCUCUGGUCUUCAGUGACUUGAGUUCCUCAGAAGUCAGUGUGAUGGCCAUGUGGCUUUAGGAAACCUUUGGACUCCCAAACUUCAUGUUCAUUAUACUGUGUGCCCACACAGCAGAGCUCACGGCAAAGCCAAGCACUUUAAUGGCUUCCAGCACCUGGCUUGCACCUGUGCUCCCCCUCCCGAGACUGUUCAGAUGCUAGUAUCAUGAAGUCGGGACAGGCUGCCAGCCCCAGGUGCUCAAGAGGAUGCGGCCUGCCUGAAGGACGUAUUGCCGUGGAUCAGGCUGCCCGAGGAGAGACGUGUUCAGGAGUGCAGCAUCACUUGGGAGGGACGAGAGGUGGCGGUGUUUUGAUGUCGCCGAACCGUGUGCUGAGUCACAUAAAGUCCAUCAUCUUCCCUUUUGUUUAUUGGAGCCAAGGCUAUUAUCGGAGCAAGUUCCUUUGCUUUGUUUUGAUGGGGGGUUGGGUGGGGGAGGAAACAAAAUCUAUGAUCGUGAGCCUUCCCUUUGUGGAAUCCCCCAUGAGAUCUGCGUAAAUGAGAAAUCUGGAGAGAUCCUGAGACAGCUGGUCUGGGUGGGACUACUGUGACGGUUCUGUGGAUGGUGACUCUGUCAAUCCCUCUGAGCUGACAAACAACGCUGAUGCUGGGUCUUACCCCGGAAGCCGACUGAGAGGACGCUCAACCAAUCUAUUUUGUGACGUAUGUAUACAGUCCCCAGCCUGCAUGUCCACCUACACACCAGAGGGCACCAGAUCUCACUAUAGAUGGUUGUGAGGCACUGUGUGGUUGCUGGGAAUUGAACUCAGGACCUCCGGAAGAGCAGCUGCUACCUCUGGGCCAUCUCCCAAGCCCUGCACUUACUUCCAAGUGCACUGCAAGGCCCCUUCCACCCCGCAGACCCAGUGAGACGUUUUUCCUGUUAGCUGUGCCUUGCUCUUAUCUAAUGCCUCAGUACACACAGGCCCUGAGAGCAUGAUGACUUUGAUUGUUUUAAACAGGCAAAGCGCAUUGAGGAGAUAGCCAAGAUCAGUACAAAUGACUCGAUCUCUCCUUGCAGCAUCGUGGGAAGUGUGUUGACUUGGGUUGGGUCAAAACUCUAAAGUGGGGAGGAGGAGCCUGGACGCAGCUCAGCGGUUGAGUGCCUGCCUAGCUUGUCCAAGGCCCUGGGUUACAUGGCUAGCACUGGAAUCCUCCGAAUUCAAUAAGAUAUGGAAUGAAGUAGGCCGGAAUUGAGGGAACAGCAAAGACUUUGUUGGUGUUCAUGUUACCUGGAUUCUCUCUCUUUCUUAUCAGGGACUGGGGAUUUGGGAGAAGUCAUCUUAGCUUCACUGACUGUUUAUAGAUGAGAUAAAAUUCUUAAUAACUAGUUUUACACCUAAAACCUCUUCAUUGGAUUUGAUUCAGUGAUAGCUUUGGGAGUUUAUAGUGAAAUUAUUGCCUUAAAAAUAACUUUGCAAUUCACAGUGCUAAUGGAGAGUCUGUUACAGAGUUCACAUCACCUCCAAAGUGAUUCCCUUCACACACACACACAGAGAGAGUGAGAGUGAGAGAGAGAGAAACACAAA